rnacentral:rRNA from 1 species
GACAGAGGUGCCGAGCGUUAGGCGGAAUCACUGGGCUUAAAGCGUGUGUAGGCGGGCGAUCAAGUACCUUGUGAAAUCCCACGGCUCAACCGUGGAACCGCUGGGUAUACUGGUUGUCUUGAGCCGGCUAGGGGCGAGCGGAACAGACGGUGGAGCGGUGAAAUGCGUAGAUAUCGUCUGGAACGCCGAAGGGGAAAACAGCUCGCUGGGGCCGCGCUGACGCUGAGACACGAAAGCCAGGGGAGCGAACGGG